CCCCUUUUUUUUUCACAGGGACUUCUGGAAAGGACUGAUGGAUGCCAGAUGCCAGGAGCACUGGCACCGAGGGAGGACUCUGAAGAGAGAGGAGGGAGCGCUGGGUCAGACGUCACAGGGCGUGGGGCAGGCGUGCUGGGCGACUACUCCCGAGCUGACCAACCACUCUGGGCCGCCUUACCGCCAGCCAGCGGAUCAAGGAGCUUGAAGAAGUGAUUUCCCUCUCUCUUCUCAGGCUCCCCACCCCCUUGGACCCUGCCCUCCUCUUAGCCAUUUCAUCCAUCAGUAUGGGGCACCUACUACGUGCUAGGCACUGUCCCAGGUGCUGAUGAGACAGCAGCAGACUGUCGUCCCUUAUUCUUGCCCCGUGGAGUCCGCUUUGCUUUCUCAGGAGAGAAUGAGUGGGCUGUAAGUGCCCCGGGGAGGAAGAAGCAAGUCUGGUCACCCCACUUCUCCUUGCCGGCUGCCUUCUGCUUCUCAGCUACUCUGCCAGGCUGCCUGUGGCUUCCAGAAAGUUCCUCUGCUCCAGAAAGCCCUCCAGGAUUGCUCAGGGGAGGCUGCCAGGCUCUGUCUGGGCAGUAGAUGGCCUUUUCUUCAUUUCUUCCCUUCCCAUGAGAGAGAUGCCAAAGAGAGAGAUUGUGAUCCCCCCCCCCCCCCCUUCCCCGGGGCAACCCAAGGACCAGAGUGGUUGUUAGCCUCCUUGGCUUUGGAAGAUCCGCUUGGCUCCCUGCUCCUCCCCUCAGCCCCAGGGGGGCCCAUAGUGAACACCUGCUUGGUUGCUGGUGCAGGUCUGCCGCGCCUUCGGUUCAUAUACUGGCAUUUGGGGAGAGGCUGCGUUGUUCCGGUCUUCCCUGAGCACUGGUCCACUCAAAAGAGCCCCCGCGAGGGACCAGCUUUGGCCUGCAAGGUACAGAAGUUCAAGUGCAGGAAGGAUUUCCUGGGCCGUGAAGGGGGACAGCUGAGCGGCUGGAAUUCGGGGAAUCAGUUCAUGUGCACCCUGCUGUGUGACAGGUCCAUGGCUGAGGGCCUGGCGAGGGAGAGUCAGGGUCUCAGAGAGGACGAAGGAACACAGUGACAGGCCGGCAAACAAAGGCUGUCCGCUCCAUGCAGCUGGCCUGGACGUUUGCACCGCACCGUGAACACAGCAUCUGGCCCAGAGGAGGCCUUCAGUGAAUUCCUGCCGAGAGAAGAGAAUCUUGGUUCCUGGCUCAGGUUCCCAUUUGCUUUUCCUGAACCUGUAGUUCCUUAUCUACAAGAUGGAGUAGUAACCCCAGCACUUCCUGUCUCGUCACAUUGUCACGGGGAACAAAUAGAACAACGAUGGCAAAAGCGUUCUGUGAACAUGAUACACAGGCCUCAGCCCAGCACCGUGCCGGGCCUGCGGUGGUGGUGGCUCGGUAUUGAAUAAAUGAGUAAAUGACUCGAUCUCCACCAGAUGUGAGCUCCACGUAGGCAGAGACCUGGCUUGUUUUUCCUUGGCAUUAUUUCCCCAGUGCGUGGCACACUGUAGGUGCCCAAUAAAUAUUUGGAUCGAA